CCCUUAGACGUUCUGGGCCGCACGCGCGCUACACUGACCAGUGCAACAAGCAUCCGUCCUUGGCCGACAGGCCCGGGCAAUCUUUGAACGCUGGUCGUGAUGGGGAUAGACUUUUGCAAUUUUUGGUCUUCAACGAGGAAUUCCUAGUAAACGCAAGUCAUCAACUUGCAUUGAUUACGUCCCUGCCCUUUGUACACACCGCCCGUCGCACCUACCGAUUGAAUGGUCCGGUGAAGCCUCCGGAUUGGCGCGCACCUCGGUGCCGCCGAGAAGUUGGCUAAACCUUACCAUUUAGAGGAAGGUGAAGUCGUNACA
rnacentral:rRNA from 1 species